rnacentral:rRNA from 1 species
AUUGUGUGAAUACAUAGCACAUUCGAGGUAGACGCAGAGAACUGAAACAUCUAAGUACCUGCAGGAAGAGAAAGAAAAUUCGAUUCCCUGAGUAGCGGCGAGCGAAACGGGAAAAGCCCAAACCAGCAAGCUUGCUUGUUGGGGUUGUAGGACUCCAAUAUGGUAGUUCUUUCAGAUAGUCGAAUGACUUGGAAAAGUCAGUCAAAGAGGGUAAAAACCCCGUAGACGAAAUGUGGAAGACACCUAGGAGGAUCCUGAGUACGGCGGAACACGAGAAAUUCCGUCGGAAUCCGGGAGGACCAUCUCCCAAGGCUAAAUACUCCCUAGUGACCGAUAGUGAACCAGUACCGUGAGGGAAAGGUGAAAAGCACCCCGGAAGGGGAGUGAAAUAGAACCUGAAACCGUGUGCCUACAACAAGUCAAAGCCCGUUAAUGGGUGAUGGCGUGCCUUUUGUAGAAUGAACCGGCGAGUUACGAUUGCAUGCGAGGUUAAGUUGAAGAGACGGAGCCGCAGCGAAAGCGAGUCUGAAUAGGGCGUUUGAGUAUGUAGUCGUAGACCCGAAACCAUGUGAUCUACCCAUGUCCAGGUUGAAGGUGCGGUAAAACGCACUGGAGGACCGAACCCACGUACGUUGAAAAGUGCGGGGAUGAGGUGUGGGUAGCGGAGAAAUUCCAAACGAACUUGGAGAUAGCUGGUUCUCUCCGAAAUAGCUUUAGGGCUAGCCUCGGAAUUGAGAAUGAUGGAGGUAGAGCACUGUUUGGACUAGGGGCCCAUCUCGGGUUACCGAAUUCAGAUAAACUCCGAAUGCCAUUCAUUCAUAUCCGGGAGUCAGACUGUGAGUGAUAAGAUCCAUAGUCGAAAGGGAAACAGCCCAGACCACCAGCUAAGGUCCCAAAAUAUAUGUUAAGUGGAAAAGGAUGUGGGGUUGCACAGACAACUAGGAUGUUGGCUU